GUCAAAACAACCCCGACAGGUAGAUGUUGGCACAAAGUGGUGGUGGUAGUGGUAGAAACGGUAGCGUGGAGGGCAACAUGAAGCAGGGAGGCAAACCCGGUUUCACCUCCCAGGUUCUCCGGUUGAGAUGAGUCACACUCUGCAAACAUUGUGUUUGAUUUUGCUGUCAGUUCACCUCAGGCGUGGAGGGAGGGAGCAGACACAAACUGUUUGACUGACCUACAUACUGUGUUUAUGUGUCCUGCUGCUGUGCUAGUGGAGGGAGUUUGAAAGGAAACAAUCCCACACACUUAAUAAGCGGUUUUCAAAAAUCCCAUUGUGGAGCUGACGAGCAGAGGAGGAGCACAAGACGGAUAGACACCUUUUGUAUGCCCGCAGCAGUGAAAGGGACGGGUGGUGUUGCAGACCCUCAUGCAGACCCAGGUCUUACUGCGGCUGCCGCUCUCAUAGACGACUGAAGAUACUGAACUGAAUGGGAAGGAUGCAAAGGUGGAAGCAGUCAGUCUUGGAUUCGGUUUCACUGAGUCUUAAUGGAACACACACGCUCGAACACACACACAUACUGCAUGUUUUUUAAUACUAUCUACUUCCCCCUUUCUUUCAGAGGACAUAGAUACACCCUGAAUGGGCCUCUGUGGUGAUCUACACUGUGGUUGGGAAGUACCUAGUGUUACAACUGUCAUGCUGGUCUGCUUAAAGGGACAGCGAUGAUCACUUUUACACGCAGUACGUUUUGUAUUCAGAGCUUUGAAAAAUCCAUAUAGUUGGAUGUUUCAGUUUUCGCCUUAAUAGUGAGUGAGCAGUUUCUCUGUGCAGAGUUUAGAAAUCAAACAGGGUCUUUUCUGUGUUAAAUUGCAGUUUCUAAAUGGUCAGGACAUCACUUGAAAUGCAGAAAGACUUAAUGGAGACUUCUCAGACUUCUUUCUUCAAUAAAGACAUAAAUUCAAUAGAUUUAAAGGCGUCGCCUCUUCUAUAGAGUCCAUCUUCAUACUCACACAAAAAAACAGAAGUCUAUUCAACUUUUUACCACUUGACUAAUCUAUAAUUGCUGGGGUCAUGAAACUAUACUUCCAGAAUACACUGAGAAUUUGUGAUAUUGUGUAAAUGAAAUCUAAC
rnacentral:lncRNA from 15 species